CCUGGGGCAAAUCCGAUUGGCCACCUUUUCUUGGCGAGGCUUUUUUGCUAAACUUGGGUGAGUAAUUGCCUCUCGCGGCGGAUGCUUGGGCCCCGUGCGAUUCGGCCCGUGAACCCUGUCAGGUCCUGACGGAAGCAGCAGUAAGCGGUUCCCCGGAUGUGUUUCGGAUUCGUCUGAGCAUUCGCCCUAGGAGGCAAUUUCUAUUCCCUAGG
rnacentral:SRP_RNA from 1 species